rnacentral:rRNA from 1 species
AGACGUCUACAUUAGAUACCCCGGUAGUCCCAGCCGUAAACUAUGCGCGUUAGGUGUAUCGGUGACCACGAGUUACCGAGGUGCCGAAGGGAAACCGUGAAACGUGCCGCCUGGGAAGUACGGUCGCAAGGCUGAAACUUAAAGGAUUUGGCGGGGAGCACCACAACGGGUGGAGCCUGCGGUUUAAUUGGACUCAACGCCGGGAAGCUCACCGGAUAAGACAGCGGAAUGAUUGCCGGGCUGAAGACUCUGCAUGACUAGCUG